rnacentral:rRNA from 1 species
CCUACGGGUGACAGCAGUGAGGAAUAUUGGUCAAUGGGCGCGAGCCUGAACCAGCCAAGUCGCGUGAAGGAUGACGGCUCUAUGGAUUGUAAACUUCUUUUAUAAGGGAAUAAAAUGUGGGACGUGUGCCAUUUUGUAUGUACCUUAUGAAUAAGGAUCGGCUAACUCCGUGCCAGCAGCCGCGGUAAUACGGAGGAUCCGAGCGUUAUCCGGAUUUAUUGGGUUUAAAGGGUGCGUAGGUGGACUGUUAAGUCAGCGGUGAAAGUCUGUGGCUCAACCUUAGAAUUGCCGUUGAAACUGGGAGUCUUGAGUACAGUAGAGGUAGGCGGAAUGCGUGGUGUAGCGGUGAAAUGCUUAGAUAUCACGAAGAACUCCGAUUGCGAAGGCAGCUUACCAAGCUACAACUGACGCUGAUGCACGAAAGCGUGGGGAUCAAACAGGAUUAGAUACCCGUGUAGUC